rnacentral:rRNA from 1 species
CCUACGGGGGGCUGCAGUCGAGAAUCUUCCGCAAUGGACGAAAGUCUGACGGAGCGACGCCGCGUGGUGGAUGAAGUCCUUAGGGACGUAAACACCUUUUAUGAGUGAAGAAGUAUAUUGACAUUAGCUCACGAAUAAGGGGCUCCCAACUCUGUGCCAGCAGGAGCGGUAAUACAGAGGCCUCGAGCGUUAUCCGGAUUCACUGGGCGUAAAGGGUGCGUAGGCGGUUAUAUUAGUCGGGUGUAAAAUCCUGGGGCUCAACCUCAGGCUCGCAUUCGAAACGGUAUAACUAGAAGAAGUGAGAGGUAAACAGAACUCUCGGUGUAGGGGUGAAAUCCGUUGAUAUCGAGGGGAAUACCAAAUGCGAAGGCAGUUUACUGGCACUUUCUUGACGCUGAGGCACGAAAGCGUGGGUAGCGAACGGGAUUAGAUACCCCGGUAGUC